GUUGUUGUUCUUCAAUUUGGUGUUUUGUUUUAAUUUAGUUUCUUUCUUACAAAGGUACAAGCUCCUAUAUUUCUUCUGGUUUCAGAAACAUCUUUAUAAACUUUGGGAAGGAAUUUGUAUAGUUACAAUUAUAUGAAUUCUACUUUUGUCACUACCAGAAGAAAGGCUUUAGCAGACAAAAAUAAAAAAACCAGGCCGACGAAUUAUUUUGUCGUCAGCUAAAGUCCACGUUCGCCGACGAAAUUUUCCUUCGUCGGCUAAUUUAAAUUUUCGUUGGCUAUAGUCAACUUUAGCCGACGAAAUUAAAAUUUCGUCGGCUAAAUAUUUUUUUUCGUUCGGCUAAAGUGCCUUAUAUUUGCAGAUCUGGACAGUAGCACAUCUUCGGUGGUUAUUUUUCGUAAAAUUUUUAUACGACUUGCUGCAUCUCAUCAAUUUAAAAUUAUUUUCAGUUGAAGGUCCGGCAAAAAUACGUAAUUUAGACGGUCCAAUGACCUUUUCCGUGCAUUUAGGGGUUUGGCUUACGGGAUUGACCUUCCGGAUCGAGCCCUUAACCUUGUCGGAUCAAGUUGAAUUUUUUCCCAUACAUAUAUUUUAUCAUGAUGGUCAGAUCUGAUGGUCGGAUUUUCGUUUCUCAAGUUUGAUCAUCACAAUCACAACAUGCCUACUAAUGUUGUAUAACUUGGGAAGUGUUAAGUAAAUGUUCCGUUUUAAAAACAAACUAUACGUAGAUCCUUCAAACGCAAAAAAGUCGUGAAAUAAGAUAUGACCAAAAUGGUGAAAUACGUCUACGGUUGAAAAAUCACGGUAUUCCGGUAAACUCUCGGUGCCGAUAGUUGUGGUCAAUGCAAUUUUCCAUUCUUUCUCCCUAUGGGUAGCCCUAUCUUCGGUGGUUAUUUUCGUAAAAUUUUUAUAAGACUUGUUGCGUCUCAUUGAUUUGAAACUAUUUUCAGUUGAAGGUCCGGCCAAAAUACAUAAUUUAAACGGCCCAAUGACCUUUUUCAUGCGUUUAGGGGUUUGACUUACGGGAUUGACCGUCCGGAUCGAGCCCUUAACCUUGUCGGAUCAAGUUGAAUUUUUUCCCAUACAUGUAUUUUAUCAUGAUGGUCAGAUCUGACGGUCAGAUUUUCAUUUCUCAAGUUUGAUCAUCACAAUCACAAUGUGCUGAAUGUAUAAAAAGUACUAUAGCCGACGACAUUAUUUAAAAUUCGUCGACUAUAGUUAAUAAAAUAAAAUAAAACAAAUAAAUUGAAAAUAUUAAAUAAAAAGUACUAUAGCCGACGAAUUUCAUUACUUUAGCCGACGAGAUUUACAGGUUUAGCUGACGAAAUAAGAAUUUCGUCGGCUAAAGGUUAAACCCAGCGCUCCAAAAAACCCUAAAAAACCCACCACCGCCUCCUCGAGCCCUCCACAGCCUCCUCGAGCCAUUUCCGUUCUGCUCUAGCCACGAUCCCUCCUCCUCUUCACUGUCCUCCCUUCGCAUUCUGCUCGCACUAGCUUCAGGUUGGUCCUCAUUCCCUCACAUUUUCGGUAAUCCACGGCAGCUUUUGUCAUUCCUUUAAAUUACAGAGCUUCCGAUUCUUCUCCUUUUCAGUUCUCGCGUUCUACGCUCUUCCGGCGGCCUCGGUUUCGUCGCCGAGAUCCAAUUGCUACGUCUUCGAUUUUCGUCGAUUUUGUAUCCUUUCUGAAACGACUAGUUUUGGCUUUUGAAUUGCUCAGUGAUAGUUAGCAUUGCUUCAAGUUUGGGAUUUGAUUUUGUUUCAAGUUGUUUUUCUCUUAAUUUGAUGAUCAGAGUAGCUGGAUUAGACAUCAUUUUGAGUAUGAAGGGAAGGUAAUUUCAAUUUUUCAUUAUGUUUAGUGUUGUAAUUUUCAUCUGGAAGUUUGAAUGUGAUUGAUAAUGUAAUCC
rnacentral:lncRNA from 1 species